UCGUAGAUUUGAUAAUUAGAUUUGCUAAAAAACUUCAAAUCAUUUUGUUCUUAAUCAAAAUAUGGUUCAUCGACUGGAAAAUAUGGACUUUGGAAAUGGGUUUCGAUUAAAAUAGCUAGUGAUUGAUCAGGAAAUCGUCUCAUAGAACAUAAAGUUUGUCCGCAAAUUUCCUUUCCGGAAAUCAUUUGAUUCGCCCACCAUCCGGCCAGCGUUUCAUGUUUCACCUCGAAGCUGGAAAAUAUAUUCGCCCUCUUUUCCUAUUUUCUGCGUGGGACGUGCAUUCAAGCGCGGUGAUUCAUCGAGGCAGCUGGAUUUUGGAGCACCUUCUACGUCGCGUUAUGAGCGACUUUUGUUGACGUACGUGCAUAACCGGCCAUGCAUUUAUGCUCCAUCAAGACGUCACGUCCUCGUGACCUGUGCUUAGUUGUGUGCACGUCAAUAUAUGUUUAUGUAUACGCUGUAUCGAGAAAUACGUCAAGGGCACGACCGCAGAACUGAAGAUUCACGAUGGAAAAUCACGUAAUGGAAAAAAAAAAAAGCUUCGCGAAAAUCAAUGAAUAUCAGACACGGAUGGACAAGUAUCGCGUGUAAUCGGAUGGCCAUUAAUAUCAGUCCGCCUCGUUGAUAUAAUUUCAUCGGUCGGCGUUUAUCCCGGAAAUGGCUUUCACUUUCUCCCCCACUGGAGGUGGUAACUUUCACUAACGAGGCCUCUGCGAAAACUGGCUCGUGCGCGUAUGUAUACACGAUCGGCGGAGAGGAGAGGAGAGAAAAGGGAGAAAGAGAGAGAAAAGGAAAAAGAAGAAAGAAUCGGGUUUCUGGGUCGGUAAAGGCGAACAAAGGCGAUCCUCCUUGUUGUCCCUUCGUCCUCGCUCGCACGGCUUCGUGAAUUUUUGUCGGUCAAUGGAUGGAUGGGAUAUUCGACGAUCGAAAUUUCCCUUCCACUCGGAUGGGAUGGAUGACAUUGAGAACGAUUAGUGUACAAUGUCGUGAAGAAUGCCCGUUGUAUUAUACCUGGAAUGUUUGAAGAUAUAAACGUUUGAAGCAAUCGCUAAAUGUGAAAUUUCAUCGGGAUCAAAAGUUCGUACAACUCAAGUUGCACUAUGAUUUUCAGUUGGAAACAAUAGGAGUUCAGGGUUCAACAAACCCGAGUCCGAGCCGGAGGAGGAGGAAUCGCGGCAGGAAGAUAAAGGAGCGAGAAGCGAGCAAGCUUUUAUCCGCGGUUGCCAAUUAUCAAGCGGGGAAGAGCGAUCUCGGUCACCCUUCAAGAUCUGACCUGACCUCGGAUCGGAAUUGAAGCGUCGGGGACUUAAAGCGUACAGUGGCCGGCAAUCCUGGCCAAUCAGCGGACAAACAGACGCGCCGGGAAUAAAGAAGUUAAUUCAAUCUUUGCACGUCAAAAUCGCAAUGGAGGAUUUCGUAGCCCCGUUUAAAAAUAACUAUUAACAUGUAAUUCAAAAAGAAAUGACGUGCGAAUAUCUGUUGAAGUAUUUCCGUUCAUCCGUCGAUCUUGAAAAUUUUUAAGAGUCUUUUUGCGUCAGUGGAACCACCCCUGAUUGUUUUAGAUGUCAAUCUCAAGACGAUCUUAAUGGCCUUUUAAGCGAUAAUUGAUUUAUGUCAAAUUUUAUGUAAUGGAAAAUCGGAAGAUUUGUAUGCAAACAAUUUGAAAAUACUUCGAAAAUUGAAAGAUGGAAAAUUUGGGGAGUACGAAGAUGGGAAAAGAACUCGAAUAUUCAAAAAUUAAAAAGACUCAACGAUUGAAAAACGGACCUUGUCGCGAAACAAAGACGGUGGAGAUGAAUUUCAAAGUGCAAAACUCUCGACUGCGAGUCUCGCGUGCUUCAAUCUAGAAAAAAAGAAAGAAAUGUUGCGUCGAGAAGGCGAAGUCGCUUUGCGAUUUCAAGUGCGAUUCAUUUAGCAAAACGAAAAGUCGAGUGGCUUCUCGCUCGAGACUGACGCCACUUGUCGGCGAAGAAACGAGGAAUUAAAAGGAAAAGCGUGUUAAAGGGGAAAGGCUUCGACCAUCCCCCUUUCAACAUUUCCGUAACCAAUAAUGAAAUUCCCUUUUUUCGUUUCGUUACACGCUCAUCGAGCCACUCGUCGAUCUGAAGAUUAAAUUAAGCAUGUUUCAUUUCCCUCGAUUGUUCCCGGAAACGAGCGAAAAAUAUUUUAUACAGCGGGGAGAUUGAAUUUAAAAUUAAAGCAGAGACGUAUUAAUUCCUGCUAAGGAUGAAAGUGCGAAAGAAGUUGAAGGUUGGUAAAUUAGAUCCAUUCUGUAACUAUCGGCUAUUUAAGAACCGAUCGUUAAUUAUCAAUUUUCUAACGAAUAAAUAAUAGCGUGUUCCGAUACAAUGCGAGGCAUAUAUAAUACACUGUCCUCGUUUUGCAGGAAUGCAAUUCGCUGUUAUUCCAUUAGCAACGAUAGUUUGUGCAACGGUUUAAUUACUUUAGACGUAUCCUUGAAACUGAUAUCGUGCUUUGAAUUGUAAAUUUAGAUAAUCAGAUAAUGCGUUAUAAUUAACGAUAUAGAAUAUCUACCGUCCACAGGGAUUGGGACAAUUAUGGAAAAAUAGAACAAAUAAAAAAGAAAUUAGGAAAUUAUUGAAAGCUCUAUUAGAAGAAUUAAUUUUCAUGAUAAUUGUUGUGAUAAAAUGAAAACUUCUUGAAAUAGUAUCUCCUUUUAGAUACGAAUGAAAUUUCAUUUAUUGACAAGUUUUUCAAGAAUCGACGAAGCAUAUUGGAUUACUCGAUCGAUCGAUUAAAUUUCCCUUCUCUUUUUGAAUUUCAUAGAUUUGAAUUUAAUUUAAAAAAAUCUACACCCGUCACUUUUCCUCCUCGACUUGAACAAAAAUAUUUUCAACAAUUCUUUGCUUUCUUCUUCUUCUUCCUGCAAUUUCAGAUAAAUUUAAAAAAAAUCGAAGCGCAAUUCAAUUUGGAAAGAAUAGAAAUAAAAAGAAGAAAAACACGAGCAGAUAAGCCACGGUAAAUAGCUGCCUGUUGCUGUUCUCAAGGGGGUGGAAAUGUGGUAGGUCGUUGCUAGCCGGGUUGUGCACCCCACUCUGCAAGCUGCAUCGAUCGGCUCUAGCCGGUGCAACAACCCACGCAUACUGACCCCAUACGUCCUUGUAGCUCGCGGAAGGAUAACCAGGAUACGGUGUUUUUGAACCUCGACAUUUUGCGUUGACAAACACCGACAAAAAUAUUUUAAUUUUUAUUUUACCUCCUCCUUCGAUCAUAAGAUUCGAUCGCAAGGUAUUUUUUCUUCCAAGAACAAAGAGAAGGAGAGGAUUGAAAAAGUGACGAGCUCGAGAGGGUUUGUUUUGCGAAUGAUAAAACUGUAACGAAAUUUUUCACCUUAAUUACGAUAUCAUUUAACGGAUUCGAUUAACUUGGAAGCGUUCCCGGAACACGCGCGUGGAACUAAUUGUUUCGAAACUUGUUUGGUACACAUCUAUCGAUUUGCAUACGCGUUCUCGGUAGCGGAUCAUUGAAUCGCAAAACGAUCUCCACUCGAGUAUCGAGAACUUGGUUAAAUAACGUUAAUGGACAUAAAUACAAAAAUUCUUGGAAUUAUGCGAGCCGUGAAAACGCUCGUCGAACGGUUUCAAGAAUUAAAUUCCUCCUCGUAAUUUAUUCCACGUGUUGAUUAAUUAAAAUCCCCCCACUUCGAUCAGGCUUACUGGAUUACUUUUGUUUUACGAACGAAGAGAGCUUUGAUUAUUCUCUUUCUUUUGUGACUAUUAUACAAAUGUUUACGGAUUCGUUUGAAUCGAAUGGGAAAUCGACUUUGCUUUCGCCGUUCUUACAGUUAGAAUUUGCUUUGAUCGUUGAAAUUUGACCUUCCGUUAUCGAGCAUGUGUCGCGAAGACUUGGAUAUGUCAGAGGUUAUUAUAUGCCGCGUGAGAAUGCGAACAAUGUUGGGUAAAUGCGUGUGGAACUUCACUUGUUUGGAUUUUUAUUUGUUUCGAUCGAGCCAAAAUAUUUUAUCUUCCAAAUUUACGGGUAUAAAAUAUAAUUACUCCUAAUAUAAUGCUCAUUUGUGUACGCAAAAAAUACUUUCUCCAUUAAAAUUGUCGAAAGAAAGAAAAGAAGAAAUGAAAACGAGUGUUAAAAAUUUUUAAUUGGGAACGAAGGACAAGGUAAGUACCUUUUGCGCGCAACAAUGCAAACACGAGCGGACAAAUUAGAAAUUCGGAACACGUUAUUGCUGUUUUUUCAAUUAUGAAACUACUAUAACUCGUGUUCUUGACCCGGGGUUUAAUAACGUUUGCACAACGGAAUGAAAGAAUCCUAUAGCAAAGACCUCGGAGGAUCGAUAUUGUUCAAAAUUCUUUUCGAUGGUCCUCAAUUUCGCUUUCGAAACUUCAAUUUGCAGGCGAUUAGAAAAAUUUCGAUCCGAGAAUUAACGUUCGUCGGACUGGAACGAAUAACAACGGGACAGUGCGACGUGGGGGAAUGGGUUCGGGGUCUUGCGAGGUCGUCGCGAUGAAAUCACCCGGGAAUUGGUAUUAAAAAAAAAAAAAGGAAAAAAAAAAAGAGGAAGAAGAAAUCUUAGUCACCCGCACAUUAUUCAUACCGAAGCGUUAUACAAGUAUCGGUGUUAAUCGAGGUUAAUAUUUAACUUCCGGUGAGAUGAAUACAUCGAGUCGAAUAUCGGAAUAUCGUUCUCUUCAAAUUAUGCAGAAUAAGGAAGCAGAUGCAAAAUAAAGUUUAUUAGAUUUACACACAAUGUACGUCGUUGUAAAAACAGAAAAAAAAAAAAAAGCAAUCUUAUCCAAGCACCAAGUGAUAAGACGCAAUAUAUAGCAAUAUAUAGCAAUAUAUAGCAUAUAAGAAAAAUGAAAUUUUGUUGUUUAAGUGAUGAUUAAUCUUGCGAAUUUUAAUUUUUGGAACAUGCAAUUUUUCAACAUUCUUUUCGUUAUUAUUACUUCACCGAAGUUAAAUUCUUAAUUAAUUUAAUCGACUACCAUCAACUUUCGAUAAAUUGAUUCAAUUAAUUUUUUUUUAAUCCCUCUUACUUACCAUUGAAUUGCGUCUGUGCGACACCUGUGUCUUUACCAGACUGCAUCCUACGCGAACUUAAACGCUCGGUUUAAUACACAAGCACGGCCGAACCUUGACACGAUUCUUCUACUUCUCACAAUUGAGAAUAUGAACUAGCUAAAGGCGACCAAACUUCGCCGUAUCUAAUUGUAAGCAAGAUCGCUCGUUAGAAUAUAUUCUAGGAUAAAGCUUAUAAAUAACUCUGCUCCACGUUUGACCAAACAAAUCACUUGCGGAUAAUCUUUAAUCUUAUUCUACCGGCUUAACUAUUCAAUAAUUUCAUUCACAGAAACUCGAAAAACUCGUGGAAACAUUUUUUCGAUAUUAGAAUUAUUCGAACACUUUUCAACCAAAGGGGAUUAUAUUACAAUCUUUCUAUUUUCACCUUAUAUUCGAAUAUUACGAAAAAAAACCCCGAUCCAAUCGAUGAUGAGGGUUAACGAUGUCCUUGAAACACAUUGUACAUGGAAUAUCAAGCCCGAUGGAGACAACAUACAUAGAGAGGAGAAUCGGAACAAAGGAGAUCGGCCAAUGAGACGGCCGAGUACAUAUUUCAUACGAUUUCGGAGGAUGGCAAUUGGUCGAGAAAAGGGGACGGGGUUACGGAACAGAAGAAGUUACCGCCUUUUGUUUCGAUCGACCCCGGGGUUUAAUUAAUCCACCUCGUCGUGUUGACGCGAAAUUAAGGACGGCCGGGAAUUAUUAACUAAUUGUGGAGGCCUUACGCGACAUUCUUGGCCGCGUUUUAGGUUCACCUAGCCGCCCUGACCGGCCGGCCGGCUGGAAUCGUGUCAAGGUCCUCGAUAGACUGAACUUCGGCCGUUACAAGUGUUGGAGGCGCACAAGGAGUGGAAGGCCUAGCGCCAAGGCAAUCUAGAUGGCGUGGGGUGGCCAUCGACGUGGAAAGAUAAAUUUUUCAUUACGAUUUUGUUGACACUAACUUAACCCCUCUUUCGAGGGCCGAGGAUGGACGGACUCGGUUCGUAUACCGAUUCAUGCUUUCUUCUUCUCCACGGAUAUUAAUUAUCAGCAUGAGAAUUUUAUUUAAUUUCUUUCCCGAAAUUUCUCGUUAAAUCUCUACUAAUUUUUAUAGAACUCGGAUGCAGUAAUAUUAUGUUAUUACGCAAGGGGAGGGCGUUAUUAAAUUAUUGCAUAAUAGGAGUAAUAAGUGUAACAAGAGGUGUUUACAUUACGUUUUAUUCGGCAGGAAUUAUAUAAGACUUUAUUAUUUAAUUUGACGUGUUAUAAUAUGGAGUUAUUACAAUAUGUUGUAACGAUAUUACGCAACGGAAAAUAAUUCACGCUGAUGAUAUUUCAAUUAUUGGGAUGUAACGGGGGAAGGAUUACGGAUUGGCAGCCGUUUCGUAAUUCAUUGGUUUUAGAGGGGUAUUUUAUCCCCCACAGAGUGCAUCCUUGGCAAAGGAAAUUGAGGAAUAAUAAUUCGAUUAAUCGUUGCACUUCUUGGCCAAACGAAGGAAGAAUUUAGAUCCAUUUCGUCUUACAAACUUUUCCCAAUAAUUCUAUUUAUUUACGUUUCACGCUCUUUGCUUCUUUCUUUUUUCGAAAAUCGGUUGAACGUUUUAUUUCCACUUUUCAAAAGACUAGGGAAAACUCAGGAAGAUCAACAAAACGGAGUUGUAUUAUUUUUAAAAAUAUACUUAAAUCCAUAUAAAAGUGUCUAUAUUAUUUUUCAAUUACCCCGCGGAGGAAUGUUAACGAGAAGAUGGAAAGCUGCAAGAUAACCGAUCAGUGUUCCAUCGUGCGCCAGGGAUCACCUGUUUGUCGUCGGAUGACGAUCAUCUGGUAUGCCAGAGAUCCGAUCCGUUUCCAGCGACGAAGGACGAUUUCUCUUCCUUUCGUCAUAUUAGUUGAGCAGAGCCUGCGAGCGCGUAGUAUCAGGACCUUGAAAAGGGGGUCGCACCUGCAUCCCACCUCACGAGUCCCCGCUCGCUUUCCACCUGAGGAGAUAGACCAACUGGAAAGUAUGGGCGAUAAGCAUAAAGAGGCGAUUCUUAUUCGAAGAAUAUUUCCUUUGUCGAGUUGGAGAGAGAGAGCUCGUAAAGAUUUAUUAAUAUUAAGGAUCUUCUUUCACCUGCUUCGAGAAAUUGUUGGCCUUUAACAAGAGAGAAAGAUCUUGCUCGUCGAAAUUGUUUGGACACGUGCGAAUUGCACGGUUUUUAAUACGCAUAUAUCUUGCUCAAUCGCUCGAUAAUAAACCUCCUUCAAAGUUUGAUUCGAUUUCAUGGUUGAUCGAGUAGAAUCGGCGUUUUGGAACGAAACGCGAGAUUUCAUUCAGGUUGAAUCUUUCGAUAGAUUUCAUUGCUCGAGAUAUUAACAAGUUCGGCCGAUUAUUUUCUUUUUCACUAAGCGAUUUAUCCUUCCAGGAAAACGAAACGAAAAAAGAAACGAGGAAAAGAUGGAGUGUUCUAAACGAUGUUCUAAACGAAGGAGAAAAAUUGGAUCGUUACCUCGCAAUUUCAUCAAUAUUAUGUCAGAUUUCUCCCCGCCCGUCCGAGGUUAUUUUCGUUUCGAUCCUCCUUGCCUGGAGGAUUGCGCGUGUUUUCAAGACGACAGACGAGUCGGUGAAAGAAGCUCGUGCCCGGUUUUCGGGCACGUGGAGGGCAGGCCGCCUCCUUCGCCGCGAACAGGGUCGAACAGUGUGAACACAAUGUGUGGAAUACAUUGAAUAAAAAACGAGCAGGUGGUUGGGACGAGCAGCGGUCUCCUCCAGCCAACACCUGCCAGCCAACGAAAUGCUUUUUUACGGUGAUAUCAAACUCCGUACCGCACAUCUUGCCUUUCCAAGGAUCCACUUUAUCCCCAUAAAUACAACAGAGGACGCGUAAAAUUGAGUCAAAUGAAUACUAAAUAUUAAUCCUCGUUAAAUUAAUUUCGAUUCCUCAAAGAGAGGGAUGUUUCUAUUCUUCCGAGUACAUAAAACGGAAUCAAUUGUCUCUUCGAAUGGUUAUAGAUCGAUUAAUUAAGUAUUUAAACAUUCGAAGAUCUCACUACUCGAUAAUGGAAAAUACGAUUCCAUGGAAUUAUUCUAUAUAGUCUUCAUCGAGGAGAGGUUUAUCAAUCGAACUUUACAUAGGCUCAUCACGCGUGGCGCGUGUGACCUACAUAGGAGGCGGCAUAAAAAUUGUGUUCCCGACAGUCAUGUGCCAAACACACGGGAUCCAGGGUGUCCGUCUGGCGUGACGACCCAGAAAAUCGACGUUGUUGAAACACCUGGCCGGCCACCUUCCUCGCGGCUCUACCACGUGACCCGGGCCCAGUCCUUGAUAGACCGAAUACAUAAUUUGUGUAUUAAAAAAAAGGGAAGAAAGAAAAAAAGGAAUGGAACGAUUAAUCUGACCCCUCGAUAACGGUCAUCCGUUACGCACAUCCGUUUCAAACGUCGCCUUUCCUCUGCACUCAGGCCCAAUUACUCGUUUCCGACGUGGAACGCCACUAUUUUCUUCCGUUCAACCUUCGCCCUCCCCUCGGGGAGGGAUUUAUAUUUGGUCGAAUGUUAUUGCAUCGAGGUUCUUUUCCCUUUUUUUAACAUUAAUAGAUAUUAAUAGACAUCUUUGCCAUCCGGACAAGUAAGAAAUGGAAUUAAAUCGAAUUGAAUUUUGACGUUUGAAGAUUGGAAAUGAAAAGAAUUAUAUCGUGGCAUAUAUCUGCCUGUGUUAUGAGUCACUUUAUUUCUUCGUGUUGACGAGUGUACAGGCAUGAACACUCUUAAUCCGGCCAAUUGGGUAUAAUGAUGCCCAGUGCACGUUUUUAAAAUUACUUAUUUAUGGGCAAUGGUCAAUUAAAUGUUUAAUUAUACGGAAGAGGCAUAAAUUACGAUAAAUUAUAAGAUAGUUAACCGUGAACGGUCUAAAAAGAGAGCCAUGGAAAAGAUCAAAAGUUAUUCUAUAAUCUAACCCAAUUAUCCCAUAAUUGUCCUGUACGAAGGGCAGGCUUUUAUUAUUAUUUAAAGUACCGAAAAUUAAAUUGGAAUCCUCUUCAAACGAACCUUAAUCUUAAUCUUGAUCAAGAAGGAUCCGAUUUGUUCCACGAUGAGAUAAUCCAAGGGGAAUCGUUGUUUCAGAAGAAAAGAUUUUCACGAGAUUUCUUGUCCAUCUUGUACCAUGCAACGAAAAUACCUCCAAUGUUUCGUCCACGGGUAUCUUGGAAAUAUCGAGCAACGACCUCGAAGGAGGAGGAUCGGUCGGGCAGAUGGCCGACUCGUGGUGCCCCGAAAAACGAAGAUGUCCAAUCACUACCUUGGCCGGUGGUGUUGGGUUCGACCCGGCCGAGACUCUCGCUUUCGACUCUCCAACAGUUGCGAAAACAGGAUUCUGGGUCGAGAUGCACGAUUUCUCGAUGAAUUUUCAACUUUCCUUCCUAAAAAAGUUUAAAUUUGACCAAGAUUGAACUUCAAUAAUCCUCUCUCGCGCCUCUGUCUCGUUGUACCAUCAUUAUCAUUAGUUUGGAUUUUUUUUUAAAUUUCUUGAAGUGGAGUAAAAGUAGUAUUACGAGUAAUUCUCCAAAUUUGUUCAAACACACUUGUUUGCUGUUGAAAUAAUAAUAAUAAUAAUGGAAAUAAAUUGAUCUGGAAGAAAGAGAGAUCUCGCAUCUGUCCAAAAUCAGAAUCAGAGGGGUCGGUUGAAAUUAAUUUCGAGUAUCGAAGAAUGGAAGAAAGUAAGAAACAAAAUUACGGCGCCUGAUGCCUCGAUAAAGAUGGCUGAUGGACGAUAAUUAAUAUUUUCUCCGGUAACGUGUUAUUAACCAACGAUACGAUUAUUUAAUCUCGAGACUCGGGGGAUCUAUGCAAUAAGAAUACACCGAUUAUCGCGUGCUUGUUCGAUUAUCCCGCUCGUUCCAGACUCUAUAUCUCCCCACCUUUUCGAAUUCUUGCUCGUUUUUCCCAGUUGGACCACCCGAAAGCGGUGCAUCCAUCCGGGUAAGACGAGGGUAACUCGAGAUCCCGAGACGUUCAUGCAGGUACCCUUCUCUUCCUCUUUGUUUCUUCGUCAAUUCAACCUUUGACCCUUUGUUUUCAAUUAUCAUUCAUUAUUACUAUUUUUAUUUAAUUAAUAGAAUCAAUUUUUGAUCUUUAUAUACAUAUAUAUAUUCAUAUAGAUUGUUGUUAAACGUGUGUAGAUUUAAGAAAGGAUUUUUGAAGAAUUAUUUUCACUUUUUUUGAUUUAGAUUGCAAAAGUUUAAAAGUUGAAGUUGAGGAUUCAAUUGUUUAUCAAUUGUAGGUUAUAUUAUUCUUGAAGAGGAAAAAUUUUCGAAACAUUUAUCCUUUAAUUUUAACUUUUCGAGAUUUGUUUGCACUUUUGCAAAUGUUACGUUUCCAAAAUGUCAAAUAUUUAUCCAUCAACUUGUCAAAGCGGAUGAUAAAAAUUCGAAGGGAAAUAAUGAUAUUAAAUAUCUCGAUGAAUAAUUAAAUUUACAUUUGCAUCGACAUUUUGACCUCAAAUUUAAUCUCUCCUCCCAAGUUAUUCCUCAUAUCGAGAUGGAACAAAGUUGACGAGGUAAUUGGAACGUUAAAAUUACGAUAAUUAAAAUCGAUAUCUUGAAAGAAAUACUCUGGAUAACGUAGAACCACCCUUAUCUCAUUUCUCCACCUCAUCUCUUUCUCCCCGACAAAAGUUCCACCACUUGUGUUUCCUCUCGACUCUUCGACCUCUGCGGGAGAUUCACUCCUUAAAGUGAAAUCCGCUCGUAAGGGCAAUCGCGAGAGGAAAUUGUCGAGGAGCUCCAAUUACUCGACCGUUUCCGCUUUCUUUCGAUCUUCACGCUGAAUUUCCACGAACUCGGCCCUCGUCUCGAGGUCGGCUCGAAGGCGUCGCCGAAAAGGCGUCUCUGUUUUGUAUUCGAUGCACGAAGCCAAUUAUCGGAAGAGUUUCCACGGUGUUCGAAGCCUGGCUUCGACCUUGGCUGGAUGAAUAGCUCGAUCGUAGCUUCCCUUGGAUAGAUACGAUUAGAAACGUUUUCAAUGGCGCAGCUUCCGUGCAAGACAAUCCCCGUUUAUCGAUCUCGUCCCUUCGAAUAAUUCCCUUUCUUCAUUUCUCUUUGCUUCGUAUUCCAAGCUGAGAUCUUAUUACUUAAUAAGGAAUAGACAUAGGCAAUUGUCUCUUAUUUAAACAAACUUAAAAAACUUUCUUCUCAUCCCGCUCUUCGAAAAAAGGAAAUUCAUUCGUUGCUUUGUUACAAAUAAAACCUCUCGAAAUUCCCCCAAGAAAAUCCUAUCUUUCCACCAACGUACCCAACAAUCCUUUCCUUUUUCCCUCCAUCUUUUCCAUCACUAUUCAUCGAUGCACUAUCCUU